GACUGCUCUUCACUGCAAAUUUACAACAAGCAUUAAAAAACAAAGCCAGCCAGCAAAGCUUUACGACAAGAGAUUCUGGAUGGCUCAACUGAGAAGUGCUUCUUUCAUGAUACUGAGUCAUGUUUAUCAGAAGGGAAGGAGUGUGGACACCUUCAUUAUUUACUCCAGCUGGUGAGCAAUCUCUCUUCUCUCCACCCUGCAAUUACCAAGGGUACGUCAAAACAACUAAAAACAUGGAGAAACAGCCUUAAAGAUGAAGGAUGUGCAGCUGAACCAUGCUAUGAAAAUAUUAAGAGGCUGAAAUAUUUGAUAAGACAUUUUCUGUCUUGCUUGAAGAGGAGGGUAAGAAAUAGACAGUGGAGAAACUGCCCAGGAUUGUUUGGAUUAAAAAAAAAAGUAGACAUUAGAAACAUGGGUAGUUUGAAACACUCAAAAGAUAGUUUACUAUAAAAGACAAUUUGUUUUAUGUACGUCUGUUACCUUGUAUUAUAAGAAUUGGCCAUCCAAUUCUGGAAAACUGUUUUUUAUCAUAUGUUGAAUAUGAUGAUGCUGUGUUAUUAUAAAUGUCUCAAAAA